AUUGAACGCUGGCGGCAGGCCUAACACAUGCAAGUCGAGCGGAUGACGGGAGCUUGCUCCUCGAUUCAGCGGCGGACGGGUGAGUAAUACCUAGGAAUCUGCCUGAUAGUGGGGGACAACGUUUCGAAAGGAACGCUAAUACCGCAUACGUCCUACGGGAGAAAGCAGGGGACCUUCGGGCCUUGCGCCAUCAGAUGAGCCUAGGUCGGAUUAGCUAGUUGGUGAGGUAAUGGCUCACCAAGGCGACGAUCCGUAACUGGUCUGAGAGGAUGAUCAGUCACACUGGAACUGAGACACGGCCCAGACUCCUACGGGAGGCAGCAGUGGGGAAUAUUGGACAAUGGGCGAAAGCCUGAUCCAGCCAUGCCGCGUGUGUGAAGAAGGUCUUCGGAUUGUAAAGCACUUUAAGUUGGGAGGAAGGGUUGUAGAUUAAUACUCUGCAAUUUUGAUGUUACCGACAGAAUAAGCACCGGCAAACUCUGUGCCAGCCGCAGCAGUAAAAC
rnacentral:rRNA from 1 species